rnacentral:misc_RNA from 1 species
GAAAUUUCCACGCACUACUUGUAUUUUAUCUGUAAUCUACAACUACAACAUCCCUAUAGCUGAAGAUAGCCAUUGUUUAGCAGAGUCCUCUUCCAACGAUCCUAAGCAAAAAUUGCAUACAUAUAUACAAAAGAAUGCAAAUCCAAACUAUAUUCCUUUUUAUCAAAGCGCAAGCUUCAAGUCUUGUACUCAGUUAAGGCAUCAUCUACCGAGAAGAUCUUCAGCUCUGAAACUCCAUAUCAUGGAAGGGUGGG